rnacentral:rRNA from 1 species
AUGUUGCCCGAUAGGAAGGAAUGGAAUGAGCCUCUCAUACGACAACUCUUCUAUCCCUUUGACGCUGAUGAGAUUUGCAAGCUCAAUAUCCCGUCGUCGGAGGUGAGCGAUUGUAUUGCUUGGCAUUAUGAGAAGAAUGGCUCUUUCUCUGUCAGGAGUGCGUAUAGACUUGCGGCUUCAAUCCGGGAGCAAGUGCAGCAUACCCCGUCGAGCUCCACAAGAGACCCAAAUGAUCGUAGUAUCUGGGACUUCAUUUGGAAAACUAGUGUCCCCGGGAAGGUCCGUAUCUUUGCUUGGAGAGUGGCAACUAAUACCCUGGCCACAAAGGAGAACAAAUGGAAGAGAUCGCUAGAAGUGGAUGCCACGUGUAGCCUAUGUGGUAAUGUCGUAGAGGAUGAAUAUCACGCAGUGAUUGCAUGUACUAAAAGCAGGGCCCUGAGAACUGCUAUGAGAGAUGUAUGGAGGAUACCGGCUGAACACAGGCUGAGAUACACCGGUGUUGAUUGGCUACAGGUUGCCCUAGGCACGGAAAAUGAAGAGACGCGCGCCAAACUGCUGCUACUCCUGUGGCGAUGCUGGCAUCUCAGAGAAGACAGCAUGCAGAAUAACGGGAGAGAAUCGAUCGGGGCCUCAGUACAGUUCUUAAAAUAG